GCACAAAUCACUUUUUCUCUCUUCAUCCUUUUAACAAAAUUUCUCUCACAUCUUGCAUUCCUUCACAGUUCUCUUCCCCUUCUCCUUACAAAUCACCAUAGAUUUCUUCACAAACUUCCUUUGAUCAUUCCAACAUCUCCAUAAGCAACGUUAAAACAUUUCCAACUUUUCCAAAGCUUUUUUUAGGCAACUAAUAAAGGGUGAUAGGAUGGAAAGUCGUUUUGGCCAUGAAUAUUAUAGAGUUGGAAAGUUGUUUUGUUCAUGAAUUGUUGUGCUUUUUGGUUGUAUUUUGCUUUGUUUAUGGAUUAUUUCGGUACAAGGAUCUGAGUCUAUUAUUUUUGUUGGAAGAUGUUGAGGGUUGUAGUUUUCUUUUGGUGAAGUACUAGAGGCUUGAAAAUAGAGCAUCUCUUAGUCAUCAAAUGUAAGUUCUUAUAUAUAUAUAUUUUUUUAAUGACUUUUUGGCUUAUUUUUAGUUUCAAUUUAUUCACAUAUUUGCAAAUAUGUUUUCAUAUUUUGAACAUUUUUCGGUGCGUAUGAAAAUGAUUAGAGAGAAAUAGUUUAGAGAGAAAUAAAUUGUAAUGAAACCUUGAGAAAAUAGAGAAAUACAAAGAAUAUAUACCAUGUAAAGUAGAUGUAGGCUUCAAUGACUAACCAGUCUUUUUGGGUUGUCGCAUCAGCUUUCAUUUAUGAAUGAUUUGUCAUUUAUGAAUGGAUACUCUACCAUUUUAUUUUAGUAUCAUUUCUGUCUUUCCUUUUAUUUCCUUUUUCAGGAUGCAUAAUUGUUAGAGAUAUCCUAAUUUCUAGAUAGUUGUUCAUAAGUUUUUUUUUUGUUAUGUUUAUGCAUUAUUUGUCUAAAUGAUUUAUUUUGCAUUGUGGUUAGUUUCUAACCCAAUAUGGUUUAAUUUGUAAUGCAUUUUUGGGCACAACAAACUUGAGAAAAAGAAGGUUUUUCACUUCACUACUGAGUUUAAUUGCUUCUUUGUUUAGUUUUUUUUUUUUUUUUUUUUUUUUUUUUUUUUUUUUUUUUUUUUUUUUUUUUUGUUAAGCAUCUGGUUUAUGCUAAAAUCCUUCAAUAUUAUACUUAGCUUAAAUCCUCUAUUUUUUAAAAGAUAUAUAUUGUAAUCAUUUUAACUGAAAAGAGAAAGAGAGGGAGAAAAUUCGAAAGAGAAAGGGAGAAAAUUCUAUCAUAUAUUUGAAAUCUCUAUUAAAAUUUUAGCUCUAUACCACAUUGAUUUUGUGUUUCGUUUUGUUCAGGAGAGAGAGGUUUUGAAGUUCUUGAAAUUUAUCUCGAAGCCUCUCUCAUGGAUCAUGGAAGCUACAGCUAUAAUGGCUAUUACUCUAGCUAAUAGAGGAGUGAGUUUUUUUUUUUUUUUUAUCUCUUAUCUAAGAAAAUAGAUUUUUUUUAAUAGGGUAGGAGUGAAAGUAUUGUCAAAAAUAGGUUUUUAAAUCGUGUAUUCGGUACACGAUUAUCGCUAAAUCAUGUAUCAGAUACACAAGUUCCUGUCGAUCUGGCAAGCACAGUCUGUGGCGGCAGUCAUGCAGCGUUGACUGAGAUAAUCGUGUACCCAGUAUACGAUUACCUUAAGUCGUGUACCCGAUACACGACUUCCUCCUCCAUUAAACAACGUUGCGCCUCUUCUUCUUCCUCAUCCGAGCUUCUGCCUUUUCCGUCCAAAAUCAUCUUCUGCCUUUUUUUUUGUUUCGCCUUCUCUAUCCAAAAUCAUCCGAAAUCUUCCUCAUUUUGUUUCCAUCUUGUGCAUCUAAACGUAUCAUUUUUCCUCCAUUUGUUCGCCUGUCCAAAAUUGUCCGAAAUCGUCUGAAUGCUUCAGUGUAUGAGAUAGUUCUUCCACUGUAGUGUUGAGUUGUCAGAGAAUGGAGGCGAUUGCAUAGCAUACUAUCCCAUUUGAUCACCGCAUUAUUCCCUAUGUUCAGCAGACAGGUUUUCUUGGAGUUGCAUAAAUUGGUUUUAUCCAGCUUGAUUGGCACCUGCUACUCUAGUUGAGCGUUGGAGACCAGAAACCCACACAUUUCACUUGCCUUGUGAGGAAUGUACGAUUACGCUGUAGGAUGUUGCCAUACAAUUUGGGUUACGAGUGGACGGGUAACCAUUGACAAUUUCUUUACAGUAUGACUGGAAGAACGUUUGUGAAGAGCUCUUAGGCGUUCUACCAGAGGAUCUGAAAGGAUCAAGAUUGAGCAUCCCCUGGUUGGCGUCCUAGUUUCUAUAAUUACCUCCCGAUGCCGACGACAUAAACGUACGUAGGUAUGCACGAGCAUACAUCAUGCAGCUUAUUGGAGGAUUUUUGUUUGCUGACAAGUCAAAUACUUUAGUGCAUCUCAUGUUCCUCCCACUAUUGUCUGAUUUCGAGCACGCUGGUACGUAUUCGUGGGGUAGUGCAUGUCGUGUAUGGUUGUAUAGAGAAAUUUGUCGGACUUCCAAUGCACAAGCGUUGGAAAUAGCGGGGCUACUGAUACUACUACAAGUAUGGACUUAUGACAGAUUUCCAAUUAUAGCAUCACAAGUCCAGCUACAGGCCAUAGAUCAUCGUCCACUUAGUGUUAGAUGGAGUGGUGUAUGAGCUGCCUCUGAACAUUCAGCAAAUAUGUUGCUCGUGUACAAAAAAAUAUUUAACAUGCUGAUGCACAAUCAGAUUAUUUGGACGUCAUACACACAAUAGAUUUGGUCAUCCUUACCUAAUUAUUGCCGUGAUGGUGAAGACAUUUGGUUGACCGUCCCUCUUAUAUGCUUCCAUAUAGUAGAGUAGCAUUAUCCAGAUCGUGUAUUGAGACAGUUCGGUCUGCAAUAAAAGAUACCUUCGUUUGUCUUAUACACUCCCAACAUUACACCAGAUUGAUUUGAAAGGUAAGCAUGACCAAGAUUGGCAUCGAAUCUAUGCGGAAUAUUUAUCCUACUGGCAUGGAUGACAUGAUCGUUGUGCAUAGGGAGAAUUAACAAAUGGGCCAGCUGUAUCAAACGACUACUUUUCCUGGUACAAUUCAAUCACGAGGCGAUUUAUCAUACCUGACGACGCUUACUAUUACUACAUGAAUAAUUUUAUCGACGAUGUUCAACAAUAUUCAGUGCAGAAUAACUUACCAGACUUGGGUUCAAUGUGUCAGCAAACAUUGGUCAACGUAGAAGGUAUUAUUCAACAAACAAGACGACAAUGACAACAGGGUGAACCUAAUUUAGAAGGACACGAAGACAACCCUCAAGAGGGGUAAAGGCCAGGGGGUCGUUUUUAAAUUUCAUGUAAACUUUCAUUCACAAAUUGUAAAUUAAACAAUUAAUUAUAAAUAUUCUUUAAUAUCAUGACUUUUUUUUUUAAUAUGAGUGCAAGAUAUUUUCA